rnacentral:rRNA from 1 species
AGUGAACGCUGGCGGUAGGCCUAACACAUGCAAGUCGAACGGCAGCACAGUAAGAGCUUGCACUUACGGGUGGCGAGUGGCGGACGGGUGAGGAAUACAUCGGAAUCUACUUUUUCGUGGGGGAUAACGUAGGGAAACUUACGCUAAUACCGCAUACGACCUACGGGUGAAAGCAGGGGAUCUUCGGACCUUGCGCGAUUGAAUGAGCCGAUGUCGGAUUAGCUAGUUGGCGGGGUAAAGGCCCACCAAGGCGACGAUCCGUAGCUGGUCUGAGAGGAUGAUCAGCCACACUGAAACUGAGACACGGUCCAGACUCCUACGGGAGGCAGCAGUGGGGAAUAUGGGACAAUGGGCGCAAGCCUGAUCCAGCCAUACCGCGUGGUGAAGAAGGCCUUCGGGUGGUAAAGCCCUUUUGUUGGGAAAGAAAAGCAGCAGGUUAAUACCCCGCUGUUCUGACGGUACCCAAAGAAUAAGCACCGGCGAACUUCGU